CUCAUUUCAUCAUGAAAAAUGUUCCUCUGACACUAAUCCUGGUCGGGAAGGUUCCUGUGGUCUCUGAGAAAAAGAAAUCAAAGUCUAAAUUACACGGAAAGCUAUUUUGUGGAAAUUUGGUAACAUAUCACUCACUGGUUAUUUUUACACAUGCAAACUUUUUUUUUCCACUCUGCUAAGUGAUUCAUCUUGAUAAUUAGCUGUAUUUCCUUCCUGGCCAUACUAGUACAAUAGUAUCUUUUGCAAUAAAAUGAAAGGAUUGUUAUUAAGGUACUCUUAAUAAGAUAAUUUCAGAGGCAGGUAUAUACAUUUAAAAAUUUAUAUAUAGAACUAUGGAUCAUUUUAAUAAAAGAUCCUGUCAUGCCUGCCUUGUCAGGGAGAAGAACAGUCCCAUGACUGGGAAAGGAGGCAGGAAAAGUCAGCAAAGGAAAUGUCACAUCCUGUGGAACAAAGCUGAGAGAGCCGCUAAGUCAGUAAGGAAUCAGCACACUAUACGUUCCUGUGCAUAUCUGGCAGGAUGCCCCCCAAGUCACUGUAAAGUUCCAGAUAGUUUUAAACUUACGAAGUUUAUGAUAUCCUUGCCUGGAUUCUUUUACAGAAGGAGAAAUAAUGUCCAAUCUCCACCUAAUUUACAUAAUCUGAAUUUAAAGAAAUCCCAAAAUAGACCUUUUAUUUCCUAGAAAGCCGCCUAUUUUCUGGUUCCCCCCUCUGCCGAUGCUAGUUGUGAGCUCGCCUGGGACUGGCCCCUGGAAUAAGAUGCCCCACGAUGGUUUUAGCUUGGACAGUUUCAUGCAAACCUAUCCACCGAUGACACUUUUGAGGUCUCAGUAGGAAAUGUCAAGUGUAAAUAAAACACUUGUGAGUGGCAAGUGAUGAUGGUGUCAAGAUUCAAGGCUGAACUCCAAACAGCGAGUGAAUUACCCAGUCCUCUGAAUUGAACUGAAAGAGCCCCUGCGGAGAUGGAAUCUACAGGUUCGCUGCUGCCACCAUGUGGACAAACGGAGGAUCAUUGGCCCACGUUGGUUCACUCUUAAGUCGCACAAUAGCAAAGUGAUUCUUGUGUA